GGCAUCCUGAAGAGUAUUUAAAGCACUUGUAGCUUGUUUUGUCAUUUAUUUGAUUUCCAUCUCAACAUCAGGUCUACGGUCAUCCGUCCAGCAGCAAUCAUGGUCGCCCAUGUCAGACCCACCGCAGGACUGCUUCUCCUCUUCACUCUGCUGACUCUGAUUAACCUCUCAAGUUCAAUGCUUGACAAAGAAAACCUGGAUAUUUUACAAGGAUACUUCCAAGGUGGAAUAAAAGAAGCAGCAAAAAAGAAGGCACAACUGAAGAAUGAACUUACAUGGGAGGAAAACUACAAUAAAGAACUAUUUGAGGAAAUUUAUCCCAUUCUGGGGCAACUGAUAGCUGUGACUGACCGGUCCACAUUACUGCGAGAUCUGAAGGGCGUCGUCAUAAACUUUUUAGCCCAGAAGAAAACUGACUUUGCCAAAGGAAAGAAAGCUUUUGAAAAUGAAAUUGAGGAAAUUUGGGAUAUUGUAGAGCUCCUAGAAUAUAGCCACGAUGAGCUGUAGCUUGUCUCAAUGCUUACUGUCUUUUUCUCUUGCUUGUUUUUUUUUCUCAAUUCUGAUGAAACUGAUAAUCGGUGAAGAUAAUGGUGAAAGAUUAAAUAAGUAGAAUAUAUAAUGUGAAAUUGUGAUGAAUAAGUUGUUUCUGGCUAAUGAUUCUGUUUGUGAGCAAGUGCAUUAUAAUCAAAAU